CUCUUCCCUUCUGUGGGACGUGUUUUGAGGACUUGUGUGUUGACUGCACCAUGCAGAGCAUAUAGCAUGGAGGCACCCCUACUGCCAUCGGGGGGCAGGUGGAGGGGGGACCGUCCUGCAGCUCCUCCCUGGGGCUACCCCUCUCUUCCCUCUGCACAGACCUGGCAGCCACCCAGACGUCCCGCCUGCUGCCUAGACUCUAAGAAGAUGCCCUAUCACUCCAAUUACCAUACACAGUACUGGCGGGGGAGAGGUCCUGCCUUGCCGCUGAAAACUGCACUGCUUCCUCCCUCCAGGGAUGAAAGGCCAAAAGAACGAGGGCAGUGUGGAGUCUACGCUCUCGCCAGGGACCUGCAGCCUCUCACUUCCAAGCACACCAACUCCAGCUAACAGGACUGGGCUUCCUUACCUGCCGCCUUCCGCUGCCUCCCCGCAGACACAGCUUCAGCGACGCCCAGGCUGAGACGGCAGAAGAGGUUCCCGCCGGCCGCGGCCUGCCCUCAGGCAGUGGCUCCCAGAGCUCAGCGGUUCCCCGCACUCUUCUGCGCCCGACUCCCCAUGCCCCUACAUCCUGCGUCCCCUUCAGCCCCGGAGGUACCGUGGGGCCCGGGCCUGCCAGUCACCACCUCCUCCUCCGCCGGCGCCUCCGGGUCCUGAGCCCCUCGCCGGGUCCCUCUCCCUCCUGGGGCUCCUUCCCGUUCAGCCUCCGGGGCCCUACCCCGCUCUCCCCGACUCCCCCGGGCCCGGCCUGCGCCUUCCUGCGGUGCCGAGGAGCGGUGGCGCCCUGGGUGAAGAAGUCCCGCCGAGUCGAGGGGCGCAAUGGAGGAGCGCCGGAACAGGUCUCUCAUUCCGAGUAGCUACCGUUGCACUGUGCGAGUGUAAAAGUCACUUCCACCCGGUCUCAGUUGUUCCAACCUCAGUUGAAGUGAGGAGGUUGGACUGGAAGGUUUCUGGGGUCACUCCAGUGAGGCUGGGGUUCUAGUCCCAAUCUCACCGUGGCACCCCAAAGGCCCAGAAACCCGGACCAUCACCUCUCUUUCCCCGGGGCCAACGGAGCACUCCUGAAGGAGGGAGGGUUUGUCUCAGGCCUGACGAUUCCUGAUGAGGACUUGGGCAGAAACAGCCCCAGGCAAGCGGACCUUCAUUCCUGCACUUGAGCCGUCUCCUCCCUGCCCCCACCCCAGAAGGAGAAAACCCAGCGCUCGGAUUCCCAGCGGCGGGGCAGCCUGCAGGCCCUGUUCCCAGCCCACAGACCCAUGUCCCAGCCCAAACGGAGGCAGCCCUGGGCAGCGGGCGCGUGGAGCCCAAGGGCUCAGGGCCACUCAGCCCUUGUUACUGUCCCUCAUCUAGAAAAUGGAUGUAAUAACAAAACAGUUCACGGUAGGUGGCAAGAUCAGACACAUCGGAAACUGUGUAGGGCUGGCUCUUUCUGCGCUCACACUGUCCAGCAAUGGGCCCCAGGGACUUGGCCAGAGCGCAGUAGGGCAAUGAGAAAGGGGUGGCUUCUGGAAACCUACACGAGGCCCAGUCUGGGUGGAUUUGGGUGGCGGUCCCUUGCCUGCGAGGUGGGCAGGGCAACUUUCUACUAAAUUAUCUAACACUGCCAGUAAUGGCAGCCCUUCCCCAGGGAGCCAGGAGGCUGGGCCAGGACCACCCCCCUGUCGCCUGGCUUCAGGAAAGAAAGUGGGGAAGACAACAGAUUUGGGAGAAGGAAACUGAGGAGGUUUUCUCCCAGUCUCCCUCACGCUGCCUCAGUCAUGGCCAUUGCUAAGACUCACAGAGCCCAACUGUGCAAGGCCCUGCACUUCGCAUUCUUCUCAUCCAACCCCAUGACAACCCAAGGAGACACAUAAUAUCCCCAUUUUACACGUGGCAGAACUGAGGUUCUACAUGGCCAAGUGACUUGUUCAGUGCCAUACAGCUGGUAGUAGUGAAGCCAGGAUUCAAAUCCAGCUUUCCGACUCUAAAGUCUAAGGCACAGACCGAGUGUGGUGACUCAUGCCUGUAAUCACAGCACUUUGGAGGCUGAGGAGGGCAAAUCAUUUGAGCUCCCAAGUUCAGGACCAGCCUGGGCAACACGGCAAAACCCUGUCUCU
rnacentral:lncRNA from 1 species